rnacentral:lncRNA from 1 species
AGCUAGCGCGCUUGACUAAUAAGAUAGAAAGGGCCUUUCUCGCUUGUUUGAAGCCAUAUAAGGCUUUCUUCAAUCGGCAAGGGAAGUCUGAUAGGGCUUUAAGAGAGAGGGACGUAAGCGCAGCGGUAAGAAAAAGUCACUCAGUGAAUCGGUGGAUCACACACUUGGAGACAGGGACAGGGGCAUGCCUGACUCUUUAGAAAGUAUACAAGUGUUGAAAGAGUGAAGUCUGGGGACAACGGUAAACGUGAGGAAUGGCACCUCCGCCCUACUAAAGAAGUUCGCAAGCAAGGGACAUGCCGAACACCUACCUUUCCAACUAAGUCCAAGGCGAGGACCCGUUAAUUGACGAUGCGUUCCGUCGUCAGCAAGCGGUGGCCGACAAGGCCCCUUUCCCUAAAUAUCUUGGGAAGCGAAGAGGACAGGUUUGAAACUCAUUCGGUAAUCUUCUCCUGAAGGUAGGCAUUUCCCCAAGGCACUGAUAUGAUGACUCUCUCAAUUACACGUGUUUUAGGGAGUUGAACGUCUUAUUCUUAUGAGUGGCCUAUGUGAAUAUAAGCCAGGAGCAAGGAUUCCUGAAAGUAAAAUUCUAUAUUGCAAGUGCAAGUCGACGUUCCUGAUAUGAAAGUUAAAGUGGAGUGAAAGCCGGCCCUAAGCAGGAUCCA